rnacentral:rRNA from 1 species
GACGAACGCUGGCGGCGUGCUUAACACAUUCAAGUCGAACGAUUACGACCGAGCUUGCUCGGUCUGAUUAGUUGCGAACGGGUGAGUAACACGUUAGCCACCUGCCCUUCACUCUGGGAUAACCUCGGGAAAUCGGGGCUAAUACCGGAUAUGAGCUCCUGUCGCAUGGCGGGUGUUGGAAAGUUUUUCGGUGAAGGAUGGGCUCGCGGCCUAUCAGUUUGUUUGUGAGGUAGUGGCUCACCAAGGCGAUGACGGGUAGCCGGCCUGAGAGGGCGACCGGCCACACUGGGACUGAGACACGGCCCAGACUCCUACGGGAGGCAGCAGUGGGGAAUAUUGCACAAUGGGCGAAAGCCUGAUGCAGCGACGCCGCGUGAGGGAUGACGGCCUUCGGGUUGUAAACCUCUUUCAGCAGGGAAGAAGCGAAAGUGACGGUACCUGCAGAAGAAGCGCCGGCUAACUACGUG